rnacentral:snoRNA from 1 species
GUCAUCCGAUGAUGUUUGUUUUUUACCUACAUUGUCUGAUUUUCUUUGAAUGAAACUUAAAUCUGAGGAUGAU